UUUAGUCUAAAGGUCCUCCCACUAUUUUAUAUGAAUUGGUAGCCUCUACCUCCAAUUCAAGGAAUUAUCUUAAUUUUUUAGCGGGUACUAGAAUCCACACAGGCUACAUAUAGGCCCGAAGAUGGCUCAAUCAACCCAUAUGCACCUAUAGGUAGGUUCUCAACCAAUUAUUUCUCCAAACAAUUUUUAGUAUUUAAUUUAGCCCCAGAUUUCAUUUCAAUAGGUGAUGGGCCUCUACUGAAAGUUCUGAUUAGGUCAAACCAUUAACAUGAACCUACUCAGUGAUUCUACCUAAUGAGUGAUCAGGUCCGAGGAUGGCUCAGUCAACCCAACCAUCAUCAGAUGGUUCAUCAGAGUCAUCAUAUAAUGAAUGAUAAUUCUAUCAUUCAGAGAGAACA
rnacentral:lncRNA from 1 species